rnacentral:tRNA from 2 species
GCCGGAGUGGCGGAAUGGCAGACGCGGCGGAUUCAAAAUCCGCUUCCCGCAAGGGAGUGGGGGUUCAAGUCCCCCCUUCGGCA